rnacentral:rRNA from 1 species
GACGAAGGGGGCUAGCGUUGUUCGGAAUUACUGGGCGUAAAGCGCGUGUAGGCGGUUGUUCAAGUCAGGUGUGAAAGCCUUGAGCUCAACUCAAGAAAUGCACUUGAUAUUGGAUGACUAGAGGACCGGAGAGGAUAGUGGAAUUCCCAGUGUAGUGGUGAAAUACGUAGAGAUUGGGAAGAACACCAGUGGCGAAGGCGGCUAUCUGGACGGUUUCUGACGCUAAGACGCGAAAGCGUGGGGAGCAAACAGG